AUGGUCAGUCCUUGCAUCUAUUGUCUGGUCUAUGAAUUUGAGAGUGGUUACAUUUCUCUAGCCCCAUCCCUGAGCUGUUUACAAAAUCAGGUCCAUAGACUAGCCUUGUGAAACCAUACUGAUCUUGCAAUAGCUCACAUUGUUUCACUGAAGCUAAAAUGUUAGCAGGCUAUCCAUAGACUAUAUCACAGCGGUCACUCACUGGUGGUGUCACUUUCAUCUGAAGCUGACAGUCACACACAGAGACAACACUGAGAGAGCAAACCCUGUUCCCGAAACCUUGGCCCUGGAUAGUGGAGUCGUGCAGACCCUUUUGAUUUCCAAACCGAAAAUAGACAUGCUGUUGUUGCCAUGUUAAAAAAAGAAAAGGCAUAAGUCAACCUACAAGCAGCAUACCAGACCGACUGCUUCAUUACAAGGUUCACCAACAGACCUACAUCAAUAUACCCAUGUCAACUGGACUCCCACUGUGAAGAUGAGCAGUGCUGCAGGAGCAUCAGGUUCUACUUCUUUUCCAGAUAUGAAAAGGAGACAUCCCUCAGUUGGUUGUCAUAUGCUGUGCUUUUGACUGAAUUAUUCUGUUGUGCCAUUUGAGUAGAGCACCUUCACCUUGUCAUCAUGACAAAAGUGCCCUAUUAAAUCGUAUGAACAUAUCAAAUGUGAAAAAUACUAUUUUGUCAUCUGCUUUGCUCCGACCCAUUGAAUAAAAAGUAUUUCUUAUA